rnacentral:rRNA from 1 species
UACGUAGGGGGCAAGCGUUAUCCGGAUUCACUGGGUGUAAAGGGAGCGUAGACGGCCAUGCAAGCCUGGAGUGAAAGCCCGGGGCCCAACCCCGGGACUGCUCUGGGAACUGUGCGGCUGGAGUGCGGGAGGGGCAGGCGGAAUUCCUGGUGUAGCGGAGAAAUGCGUAGAUAUCAGGAGGAACACCGGCGGCGAAGGCGGCCUGCUGGACCGCGACUGACGUUGAGGCUCGAAAGCGUGGGGAGCAAACAGG